AGUAGCUCAGCUGGAUAGAGUACUGCCCUCCGAAGGCAGGGGUCGUGGGUUCGAAUCCCGCCUGGUGCACCA
rnacentral:tRNA from 1 species